UAAAUGUAAAGGAGGGCAGGGAGACAAAUAAAUAUAGUUUUUAAUAAUUGAUAAAUAAAGUCUUCCAANUAAUACAAAGAGUAAACGAAAAUAUGAUAGUAGUGUAUAAGAUUUUNUAAAGAAUUGUAACCUUUGAUUCCUUCGGAUAGAAUAAAGUAGGAAAUAAACUUAAUCAGUNUAAAAUAGGUAAGAAAAAUUCAAAUUAUAGGUAAAAUAUGAUUAAUAUAUUAGUGCUUGAGCCGUAUGCGGUGAAAGUCGCACGUACGGUUCUUAGGGGGGGAAAGUCUGAGAAGACCUACCUAUCCCAACUAGAUACCCAGAUACCUCUCACAGUCAACGAUGAAUGGUGGUUUGUUAGUUUUAAUAAAAACUGAUAACGAUGCUAACGCGAUAACCAUUCCGCCUUGCGAGUACGGUUGCAAAACUGAAACCAAAAAAAUUA
rnacentral:rRNA from 1 species